GUAGGGAAUAUUGCGCAAUGGACGAAAGUCUGACGCAGCGACGCCGCGUGAGUGAUGAAGGCCUUAGGGUCGUAAAGCUCUGUUGAAUGGGAAGAAAAAAAUGACGGUACCAUUCGAGGAAGGACCGGCUAACUUCGUGCCAGCAGCCGCGGUAAUACGAGGGGUCCUAGCGUUGUUCGGAAUCAUUGGGCGUAAAGGGUGUGUAGGUGGCCAUGUAAGUCAGGUGUGAAAGCCCCGGGCUCAACCCGGGAAGUGCACUUGAUACUGCGUGGCUUGAGUACCGAAGAGGGUAGUGGAAUUCCAGGUGUAGUGGUGAAAUACGUAGAUAUCUUGAGGAACACCGGUGGCGAAGGCGGCUACCUGGUCGAGUACUGACACUGAGACACGAAAGCAUGGGGAUCAAACAGGAUUAGAAACCCGUGUAGUCC
rnacentral:rRNA from 1 species